UUGGCAAUGGUGAGCGAGCAGGCUUCUCGGGCGUUGGAUUUUGGUUUCUUUUCAAAACAAAAUGAGAAGAUAGUGCUGACAGUUGAACAAGGAAGUGACCUGAUUUUUACAAGACUGUUGUGGGUGCUGGGUUGAAAAGAGACCAUCGGGAGCAAGGGAAGAAGGGACGGAACGGCUGCAGAAAUCCAGCCUCCUGAUCCCUGAAUGGCAGCUAUGAGAUAUGUUUUGGAACUCAGUGUUGGAGGACUGGCUGGAGAGGUUGCAGGAGAGUUCCCGGGGCCUGUUGAUUCUGUGAUGCUCCUCGAGGAUCAUCCUAAGAGCUCAUCGUCGGCUGUGCCAACAGCCUCUUCUGGUUUGCAAGCACAGAGCUCACUGUAUGGAACCCCCAACUCCCUAAAAUGCAGUGGUUUCCUGUUUUCAGAAAUGAACACUGAGUAAUGCAUAGCCACAUAUGUGCAAAGAGAUGUGUGCAAAGUUGUUCAUUUCAGUGCUGUUAGUAAUAGCAAAAAACUAUUUAUCAAUAUGUAAAGACUGCUUAAAUAAGUAUCAUGGCAACUAUACAGAGAAUUGGGCAGAUUUUUAGGUGUUAACCAUGUAUUUAAAAUUUUUUAAAUGUUUGUUCAUUUUUGAGAGAGACAGAGAGAGAGAGAGACAGAACAUGGAUGGGGGAGGGACAGACAGAGAGGGAGACACAGAAUCUGAGGCAGAGCUGGAGCUCAUGAGCUGGCUAAUAUGAAGAGUUGGAUGCCAGACCAACUGAGCAACCAGGCACCCAAAACAUCAUAGCUCUUGCUUACUUCCUUUUGAGGGUUGCUUUGAACGUGAGCAGAAAACAUGUCAAUAAAGAGAAAUCAACUACGAUGACUUCUCUUCUCAAAGCUCGGAUGAGCAAGACCAUGUGCCAUUGCGCAGGAGGAAAGAAAAUAUUCCCUCCCUAGAGUUCUGCCUCUCGCCUAAACCCUCCAAAAGUUAAGGAAGACUAAUUCAUUUCCACUACUUGGUUGUUAUACUCAAAUAAUUUUGUGUUUGGAGAAAACUCACAGUAUUUAUUAUGGAUAGACUUUUUUUGAUUUUGCACCUAUGAGUUCUACAAGGAAGUACAAGGAACCAGAAUGAUAAAAAAUAGUAUUGGUAUGGUUUGCUAAAUGCAUCACUCCCAGUGUAUAGCCAAAUUGAUCUGUUCAAUGUCAAUUAUUGUAUAGUACGUUCCUCCUUUCUAGAAAACAUGGUAAGCUGCUCCUAGAGAUCAGAAGAGGCACUUGAGGGAGAAGUCUGUGGAAGCAACUAAAUCAUAUCAUGUGUGUGAUAUCACACCAAAAUAUUUUAAAGUGAAACAUAUAACAAAGUCAUGGGUGAGUGUUAAUAUGCCCCAAACCGUUUUUCCUGAAAAACCUAGCUUCAUUAAAUUAGAAACAUUACUGCA